rnacentral:rRNA from 1 species
UACGGAGGGUGCAAGCGUUAUCCGGAUUCACUGGGUUUAAAGGGUGCGUAGGCGGGUAUGUAAGUCAGCGGUGAAAUCUCCCGGCUCAACUGGGAGGGUGCGCCGAAAACUGGAAUGCUUGAACAUGGGAGAGGAAAGCGGAAUUCCUGGUGUAGCGGUGAAAUGCGUAGAUAUCAGGAGGAACACCUGCGGUGUAGACGGCUUUCUGGACCAUUGUUGACGCUGAGACACGAAAGCGUGGGUAGCAAACAGG